GGGCCCGCACAAGCGGUGGAGUAUGUGGUUUAAUUCGACGCAACGCGCAGAACCUUACCCGGCCUUGACAUCCUUGGAAUCCUUCCGAAAAGAAGGAGUGUCCCCUCACGGGAAGCCAAGUGACAGGUGCUGCAUGGCUGUCGUCAGCUCGUGUCGUGAGAUGUUGGGUUAAGUCCCGCAACGAGCGCAACCCUCACUUUUAGUUGCCAUCAUUAAGUUGGGCACUCUGAAAGAACUGCCAGUGAUAAGCUGGAGGAAGGUGGGGAUGACGUCAAGUCCUCAUGGCCCUUACGUGUUGGGCUACACACGUGCUACAAUGGUAUCUACAACAGGAAGCAAGACUGCGAAGUUAAGCA
rnacentral:rRNA from 1 species